rnacentral:ncRNA from 2 species
GUAUUAAUAAAGUUGAUAUGUUAUAUUAAAAAUAGUUUAAGCAGAAUAUUUUAUGGAAGCCGGUCUGAAGCCGGCGCGGUGCCGCCACUGUAGGACGGAGCUGUAACAAAAAUGACACUGGAGGAAACUCCGGGAAGUCUGUUGCAGCAGUGAAGUCGAGCCAGGAUACUUGAAUAUUUUGCCGGAACCCU